ensembl:lncRNA
AGGGUGCAGGUUGAGGUGCUGUUUGUGUGUGGGGUGACCUCCCCGCUCGGUGGGUCGAGGUAGCUCCCUGGGCUUCCAAAGACGAGACGUUGGUGAUGUUCUGCUGCUGCCGGGCGGGCCAGCCUGUAACUCAGGCGUUGGCGGGAGCCUCGUGCUCCGCGGGGCUUCUUGAAGAGGGUGAGGUGUGGGGGUACCGUCCUGUAGGCAGGGCUGUGUGUGCCCCCCGUGUGUGCUUGGUGAGCUGCGUUCUGAGAGACCCCCUGUACUCAGGUGGGAAUGUGGCCCCGGCCUUUCAGAGGCGCGGGGCCGUGAGAUGCGGGGUGGGGCUUGCGCCCUCCCUGGAAUCGGGGCUGGGAUCCCGACUGCGGCCUUUGGCCGUGCCGCCCCGCUGCCUGGCUGCUGAGAGUUGCUCCUGCCGCUGGGGGGGAAACCGAGCUCUGUGGCUCCAGGGGUGUUGUCCACCCGCCUGUAAUCAGGGUCUGGGUGCGCGAGCGUUUGUGCUCUGCUGGCAGCCUGUGUGGGGUGACCGCCCCGCUAGCGGGGUGUGGGUCGAGGUGCCCCGGACUGGGAGAGAAGGAGCCUCCCUCGGCCGUAGGGAUGGGGGCUGCCCUGUAAGUCAGGGAGCAUCUGUGUCCCGGAGUCCCAGGCCCUUUUCAAUGGCGGCAGUGGCCGGGGGUCCCCUGUAAGCAGGGAAGCUGACUCUUUGGCUGCUGCUUUUUGUGUGCCCAGCCCCAUUUGCCCAGUCUGCCCGCCUCUGUGAUCCCCCGCAGCACUGGCUGGAAGUCCGCCGCGUGUCAGUGAGGAGCUGCUGCUGCUGCUGAAGGAAGAAGAAGAAGCAGCGGCGUGGGGACCUGGGAGGCAGGAGCAAGCAAGAAGAGGAAGCGGAAGCGUGCAGAUGUGGGGGGGAAGGAGAGAGGCUCCCUGGGCAAAGCACCUGUCCCGUUAGCAGGGGCACAGUCACGUUUGAGUUGAGAGCUGCCGGCGCCUUUGGUGACCAGGCUGGCGUUGUGCUGGGCGACCUCCCCGUAAGCGGGGCUCGGGUCUUUGCUGUAGUUGGCCUUUUGCCUUGCUGCUCCUUUGGCUGCCUGGGGAGCGUGGCCCCCUGUAACGGAGGGCGAGAGCCACCUCUCCGCACCUGAGUGGGAAAUGGAGCUCGCCGGACCCCGAGGCCACCCUGUAAGCAGGGUAGUGCCGUUUCCCUGCCCCUCUUCCUCCCCGGCCCCUCGGCAUCGUUGCCUGAUGGUGGCUUGUCAAUGCGACGGCCCCGUACUCGGGGUGUGCGUCACGGCAUUUGGCCGUUGGCUUUACUGAGAAGCCCCUUGGCACGUUGAGGUCUGUGGCCUCCGUGCAGCCUAGGGACAGGUCACAGGCUCUUGUCUGUUGCCCGUGGUUGUGGGUUUAUUCCCAGGUGUUGGCUGUGCUGCGUUGUCCUUCCCUUCUGGAAAGUCGUGCCUGUGUGUGCGUGUUCCCCUUCCUUUCCUUGUUUGUGUUUGUGGAGUGGUUGAGCGGCUGUGCUUUCCCUUUAGGCCUCCACAAAGAUGGCUGCAGCUUAGCUUUGACUUCCCAGGGGGGAAUGGAGGACUUUGGUGCAUGCCGCAAAAGGGGUGUUCCCUCUUAGUCCUGCGAGCGCAGCGAGUGUCCUGUCUUCCUACUAUUUUCCUUAGUGCAGAUCAGAGCCACACGGUAGUUCUGUGGCCAAGGCCUCCCUGUAGCCAGGGCUUGGGCCUGUCCUUGCGUGGCCGCCUGUCCUGCUGGCGGCGGUGACAGCCCCGUACUCGGGGUGUGUGUCCCAAGCUUCGGAGCCCUCUGUCCCUGAGCAGCCCGCCCGCCCUGUAAUCAGGUGUGGGAGGCUGCAGCGUUGCAGCCGGCUGCUUUAGCCAUCCAGCUGGUGGGAGUGACCCCUCCCUGUCCCGUCAGAGGGUGCAGGUUGAGGUGCUGUUUGUGUGUGGGGUGACCUCCCCGCUCGGUGGGUCGAGGUAGCUCCCUGGGCUUCCAAAGACGAGACGUUGGUGAUGUUCUGCUGCUGCCGGGCGGGCCAGCCUGUAACUCAGGCGUUGGCGGGAGCCUCGUGCUCUGCGGGGCUUCUUGAAGAGGGUGAGGUGUGGGGGUACCGUCCUGUAGGCAGGGCUGUGUGUGCCCCCCGUGUGUGCUUGGUGAGCUGCGUUCUGAGAGACCCCCUGUACUCAGGUGGGAAUGUGGCCCCGGCCUUUCAGAGGCGUGGGGCCGUGAGAUGUGGGGUGGGGCUUGCGCCCUCCCUGGAAUCGGGGCUGGAUCCCGACUGCGGCCUUUGGCCGUGCCGCCCCGCUGCCUGGCUGCUGAGAGUUGCUCCUGCCGCUGGGGGGGAAACCGAGCUCUGUGGCUCCAGGGGUGUUGUCCACCCGCCUGUAAUCAGGGUCUGGGUGCGUGAGCGUUUGUGCUCUGCUGGCAGCCUGUGUGGGGUGACCGCCCCGCUAGCGGGGUGUGGGUCGAGGUGCCCCGGACUGGGAGAGAAGGAGCCUCCCUCGGCCGUAGGGAUGGGGGCUGCCCUGUAAGUCAGGGAGCAUCUGUGUCCCGGAGUCCCAGGCCCUUUUCGAUGGCGGCAGUGGCCGGGAGUCCCCUGUAAGCAGGGAAGCUGACUCUUUGGCUGCUGCUUUUUGUGUGCCCAGCCCCAUUUGCCCAGUCUGCCCGCCUCUGUGAUCCCCCGCAGCACUGGCUGGAAGUCCGCCGCGUGUCAGUGAGGAGCUGCUGCAGAAGAAGAAGAAGAAGCGGCGUGGGGACCUGGGAGGCAGGAGCAAGCAAGAAGAGGAAGCGGAAGCGUGCAGAUGUGGGGGGGAAGGAGAGAGGCUCCCUGGGCAAAGCACCUGUCCCGUUAGCAGGGGCACAGUCACGUUUGAGUUGAGAGCUGCCGGCGCCUUUGGUGACCAGGCUGGCGUUGUGCUGGGCGACCUCCCCGUAAGCGGGGCUCGGGUCUUUGCUGUAGUUGGCCUUUUGCCUUGCUGCUCCUUUGGCUGCCUGGGGAGCGUGGCCCCCUGUAACGGAGGGCGAGAGCCACCUCUCCGCACCUGAGUGGGAAAUGGAGCUCGCCGGACCCCGAGGCCACCCUGUAAGCAGGGUAGUGCCGUUUCCCUGCCCCUCUUCCUCCCCCGGCCCCUCGGCAUCGUUGCCUGAUGGUGGCUGUCAAUGCGACGGCCCCGUACUCGGGUGUGCGUCACGGCAUUUGGCCGUUGGCUUUACCUGAGAAGCCCCUUGGCACGUUGAGGUCUGUGGCCUCCGUGCAGCCUAGGGACAGGUCACAGGCUCUUGUCUGUUGCCCGUGGUUGUGGGUUUAUUCCCAGGUGUUGGCUGUGCUGCGUUGUCCUUCCCUUCUGGAAAGUCGUGCCUGUGUGUGCGUGUUCCCCUUCCUUUCCUUGAUUGUGUUUGUGGAGUGGUUGAGCGGCUGUGCUUUCCCUUUAGGCCUCCACAAAGAUGGCUGCAGCUUAGCUUUGACUUCCCAGGGGGGAAUGGAGGACUUUGGUGCAUGCCGCAAAAGGGGUGUUCCCUCUUAGUCCUGCGAGCGCAGCGAGUGUCCUGUCUUCCUACUAUUUUCCUUAGUGCAGAUCAGAGCCACACGGUAGUUCUGUGGCCAAGGCCUCCCUGUAGCCAGGGCUUGGGCCUGUCCUUGCGUGGCCGCCUGUCCUGCUGGCGGCGGUGACAGCCCCGUACUCGGGGUGUGUGUCCCAAGCUUCGGAGCCCUCUGUCCCUGAGCAGCCCGCCCGCCCUGUAAUCAGGUGUGGGGAGGCUGCAGCGUUGCAGCCGGCUGCUUUAGCCAUCCAGCUGGUGGGAGUGACCCCUCCCUGUCCCGUCAGAGGGUGCAGGUUGAGGUGCUGUUUGUGUGUGGGGUGACCUCCCCGCUCGGUGGGUCGAGGUAGCUCCCUGGGCUUCCAAAGACGAGACGUUGGUGAUGUUCUGGUGCUGCCGGGCGGGCCAGCCUGUAACUCAGGCGUUGGCGGGAGCCUCGUGCUCCGCGGGGCUUCUUGAAGAGGGUGAGGUGUGGGGGUACCGUCCUGUAGGCAGGGCUGUGUGUGCCCCCCGUGUGUGCUUGGUGAGCUGCGUUCUGAGAGACCCCCUGUACUCAGGUGGGAAUGUGGCCCCGGCCUUUCAGAGGCGCGGGGCCGUGAGAUGCGGGGUGGGGCUUGCGCCCUCCCUGGAAUCGGGGCUGGGAUCCCGACUGCGGCCUUUGGCCGUGCCGCCCCGCUGCCUGGCUGCUGAGAGUUGCUCCUGCCGCUGGGGGGGAAACCGAGCUCUGUGGCUCCAGGGGUGUUGUCCACCCGCCUGUAAUCAGGGUCUGGGUGCGUGAGCGUUUGUGCUCUGCUGGCAGCCUGUGUGGGGUGACCGCCCCGCUAGCGGGGUGUGGGUCGAGGUGCCCCGGACUGGGAGAGAAGGAGCCUCCCUCGGCCGUAGGGAUGGGGGCUGCCCUGUAAGUCAGGGAGCAUCUGUGUCCCGGAGUCCCAGGCCCUUUUCGAUGGCGGCAGUGGCCGGGGGUCCCCUGUAAGCAGGGAAGCUGACUCUUUGGCUGCUGCUUUUUGUGUGCCCAGCCCCAUUUGCCCAGUCUGCCCGCCUCUGUGAUCCCCCGCAGCACUGGCUGGAAGUCCGCCGCGUGUCAGUGAGGUCUAACGGUGUCCCCGCUGAUGUUUCAGGAGCUGCUGCUGAAGGAAGAAGAGGAAGCGGCGUGGGGACCUGGGAGGCACACGUCUUUUAGAAGAGUAAACUGUUGACUCUUAAUCUUACAGUUCUGACUGUGAUGUUUUUUUUUUGCGUUUCAGUUCAAAUUUGUGUGCUGGGCUUCAUUGCUUUUCUUUGGGAACGUCCACUCAGAAUGUUUUUUAUUAUUUUUUUCGUCUUCUUGUGAUGUUCUCUCUUAUUCUUUUGUGUGUUUUGAAUUUUGUUAGUAUUUCUUCUCAUUUAACUUCUUGUCUUUUAUUUGUUCAAUUUCCCGCCUACUGUAAUCUUCCUUGAGGAAGCAUGUUUCUUCCCCUUAACCAGGACAUGCUUCUAUUAUUUUAGUAUAAUUGGUUGUUAAUUCAUGUUAAUCGUUGUUUUCUUGUGCUCUUAUGUUUGUUUAUUGGUGUGUUGUGUCUUUUGAUGGUUUCGAACUGACUGCAUUGAAGUUGAAAUAAAUACAAGCUUUGUUGAACUCUGUGUUUGGAUUUUAUUUUGGUUUGGGCUUUUUUUGUUUGUUUUUGUUUGUUUUUGCCUCCCCUGUAUAGGAAUGUUGUCUUUAGAACUGUUAUUUACCCACUAUGCAGUAAUAACUAUACUUAUUCCUGGAUGGCCUGAAUUUUCUUUUUUUGACUAGUUUACUUAGCAGAACUCUUGGUGAGAGGAAGAGGAUGAGU